AAUCAACGCUGGCGGCGUGCCUAACACAUGCAAGUCGAACGAGAAAGUGGAGCAAUCCAUGAGUAAAGUGGCGACCGGGUGAGUAACACGUGACUAACCUACCUUCGAGUGGGGGAUAACAUCGGGAAACCGAUGCUAAUACCGCAUAACAUCGCAAGAUCAAAGCAGCAAUGCGCUGGAAGAGGGGGUCGCGGCUGAUUAGCUAGUUGGCGGGGUAACGGCCCACCAAGGCGAAGAUCGGUAGCCGGCCUGAGAGGGCGCACGGCCACACUGGAACUGAAACACGGUCCAGACUCCUACGGGAGGCAGCAGUGGGGAAUUUUGCGCAAUGGGGGAAACCCUGACGCAGCAACGCCGCGUGGAGGAUGAAGCCCCUUGGGGUGUAAACUCCUUUCGACCAAGACGAUAAUGACGGUAC
rnacentral:rRNA from 1 species